UCUUAGUGGGCACACCUCCAAAACGUCCCUCAAGGGAAAGAGCAAUCGUGCACCUGCCACCUCAGAGGAAAUCAUCAGAUUACAGACAGCACAAGCCACAAAAGGUCUUCAUUCUUGAGAAGUGAGUGCCACGGGGCUGACUGAUCCCUUGAUGGCUGGCUGAACAGGCUGCACUCUAACACCGAAAGCCAGAGCCUGAAAAGCUGGGCUCUCCCCUCCAACACUCAUCACCUCUCAUGUGUGAAGGAAAGACUACCUUGACUCCAGUCCAUGAUGAAUGUGUGGCUUAAGGCACUACAGAUACCAACAGCAGCCUGCCAGAUGAAGCAGAAAAGCUGCAGGAAGCAGACAUUGUGAGAGAAAAGUGCGUGCAGAUCCCCUGAGGGUGGUGAACAGAGAAGAUCCUGUCCACAAUUGGUCUAACACCUGUGUGUUCUCUCUCAUAAAAGCCAAUCCCACGUUAAAUCUUAGACAAUGUAUAAUCAUUACAGCCCUUCUGGAACUCCCAAAUGCCAAGGCAUUUGUUCCACAAGACAGCCUGGA